UACAGAGGGUGCGAGCGUUGUUCGGAAUUAUUGGGCGUAAAGGGCGCGUAGGCGGUGCCACAAGUCACUUGUGAAAUCUCUGGGCUUAACCCAGAACGGCCAAGUGAUACUGUCGCGCUAGAGUGCGGAAGGGGCAAUCGGAAUUCUUGGUGUAGCGGUGAAAUGCGUAGAUAUCAAGAGGAACACCUGAGGUGAAGACGGGUUGCUGGGCCGACACUGACGCUGAGUGCGCGAAAGCCAGGGGAGCAAACGGG
rnacentral:rRNA from 1 species